ensembl:lncRNA
UGCAUGUACUUUGAUAUUAUUGCAGGAUGGAUAAAUGGGAGACAGGUAUGUAAUCAUAUAUGUUAGAGUAGGUACUAUUAUAUUGAUAGAGAAGAAACAUGUUUCUCCUGAUAUUAAAUAAGUUAUGAUAAUUAAAAUUUAGAAUUAUAUCUCAUCACUUUGUCAUGGCAGAAUAAGCAUAAACACCAUAUUUUCUGUAUAUUGUACAGGUAACUAUAGAGGAAAAAGUAGUAUUAACCAUAGCAUUAAUCCUUUCCUUCAGUGACCUUUUGGCUCAGGUGACUUCUGACCCGGAGGGCCCCUGUUCUGACAAAGAGAGGCACAUCCAGAGGAGAGGAUCUUGAAACUGGUUUUGGUUCUAUCCACCCCUCCACAUCUCCGGCACAUGAACGUCAACGCUCCAAUCACCCUGUUGGUCAUAAGAAAUCAUAAGCAGUUCACAAAGCAUCAGCAUGACAAAGCAUUUAGAACAAAGAUGAGAAAUACUCCACCUGUACUUUACUGCUCCAGUAAAGCACAUGUCCUUGUAAGUUAGACUCUCCACUUAAGGUUUGUACGAGUCAUUGUGUCCAUCCUGAACUGCACUUAAUCAUGGUAUGCAAUAAUCAGUUCUGCUUGAUAUCCCAGAGCAGAGCAGUGUUUCCCCACCUUACACGUUUUGGAUGGCUCCCUAAUCAAACACACCUGAUUUAACUCAUGAUUUUGUUUGUAAAAACUCCAAACAUCAAAUGGGUGUGUCAGAUAAGUAAGACAUCCAUAAUGUGUACAGUUGGGGGCUUUCAGGAACAGGGUUGAGAAACCCUGUCCUAAUAAUGUGCUACUUAAUCUUCCAUCACACACAUAGUCUUUAAGAAAUCUCCUGUACCUUGGAUAAUACUCCUGUUAGACAGUUGCUUGAGGGGAUUUCUUCAUGGUUAAAGUUUUCUUCUGACAGCCACAAUGCUGAUUCUGUUUGGUCACUGUUAAGCUCAGCAAUGCUUGCAUUUCUCAGAGAUUUACCAAACAGUAGGUUUUGCCAGGACAAUAGUUUUGACUACCUCUUGGAUUAAAGUCUACUGAUUUUUCAGUAUUGUUGACCCUUCUCUGGUUCUCAUGUCUAAUUUCAUGUUCCAAGAACCAAUUCCAAAGCAAAAUUAGACAUUGACAGCUAUCUGAAAUAUACACUAAUGAUCCAGACAAACACGCUUGUCUAAUAAAAAACAGAUGUAAGUGCAACUGCCCAAAUAUUUUUGGCAUCUGUACUUGGUAGGAACUCUGAGCAAAUUAUGCUGUAAUUUCUAAACACAUUACUCAAUAUAAGGGAAAAAAAGAAUCAAAUCAAACCUGACAUAUUAUGACAUACCUAUGUAAAUUUAAAUCAAUAAAAAAAAUUAUAAAAAACAGAGUCCAAGUACUCUUUUAAAAUUAAUUACAUGCAAUGUUAAGUUCAUUGAUUUAGUUUUCUUCUUUCCCACAGCUGGUUUAAGGAAAAGUUUCCGGUUGAGCCGGAAGGACAACACAAGUCAACAUGUGAGACAGAAGAUGGGUGAAGGACAUGCCAGUAUCCAUUUACCAAUAUAUCAGGAGGUCCUGCCUUAAAAGAGAAAGCCUGACGAGCCUUACCGUCUUGUGCUUCGAAGUGGUGAGAAUGAUUCUUGCUUAAAGAAAUAGUUCAUCUAAGAACUAAUUUUUCUGUGUUUUUUUAUUUUUUUUAUUCUGUCAUUAUUCAACUUUUAAAGCCCGGACACACCAAGCCGACUUCAGAGAACUAGUGGCGAUGAAAGCCGACAGUGUUGUCACCUCACGUCGGCAGCGUUGGAUCAAAAAGCUGCACUCAUACACACCCCACAGACUACAGCCGACAGUAACCUAACACGUGUGUUCUACGCAUGUGUGAGAGGAAUUAACUGUCUAUAUCAGCAGCUAUCGAUACCUAUAUAUUCGUCAUUCAAAAGGAGAAACUGAAACAAAGAUAUACGAGUCAAACGCAGAUAUACGAAGCGUAAACAAAGUAGCACUUGCUUACCAUUUUGAAUAUCAGUAAUGUUGAUAACUUUAAUCAUUUUAAGCAGCUUGUUUUCAUCACUUUUGCUUUAAUUCUCGGGCACUGACUCGUUUGCUAAACUGAACAUCCCAUCAGAGCUCAUGCCGACAGUCCCAAC